CACUAAGUGGCAGAGUGGCUAUGCAACGGACUGCAACUCCGUGUACGCCGGUUCGAUUCCGGCCUUAGUGUCCA
rnacentral:tRNA from 1 species